UUGUCAUCCUAACUGGUACUUUUUAUCAAUCAUGCCAAUUUCCUAAAACCUAUAAAAAUGUACUCACCCCUGGGUGAGGUGGGCUUUUGUGGACAUAUUUCUAUAACUGCUUCUGAAGGCCUUCAGAUAAAGAUCCCCUUUUAUAUUAGCUCCUUACUAAAACUAUCUCGAGUUUCAUUUACACGUUGGGCAAAAGGCAAGAGUUAUUCUGGCACACCCAGAUGGGACAGGAGAACCUGCUACCCUUCCUCCGGACAAUGAACAUCGUGCAAGGAAUUCUUUCCUGCUGGCAAUCUUGAGAAUUCCGUGCAGCGACCUGAGGUUGAGACACCAUGGCUCCAAGAUCCCUCAGGAAGUAAUAUAAAGACCACAGAGGAAGCCUAUUCCAGCAGACCAAACCUGAAGGAUGUGCCAGACUGGGAGCCGUAUGCAGAUAAGAGUGAGAUGGCAAACAGGUGGCAAGGUAUGCAGUGAUCACCACGAACCAGGGAAAGGGCCUUGCAUCAAAUGUAUCAUCCAAAAAGGCUGAACUGAUUACUUCAAACAAAGAUCUAAAACUGAGCAAAGUCCUCUGGAAGGAAAGAAGACUGGCAACUAUUCAAGUUCUACUUUGCAGAAGCUCCAGAGAUUCGUCCUGUUAUCUGGACACACCUGCCCAUCUGUUCCAGCCCAGAGGCAGAGCCUAUGUUAAAUGGAAAGACAGUAACCUUACAAGCUAAGUGGAAAAGGCCAUUCCAAGCUCGAACUACCCUCACCAAAACCAGAGGUGCUGACAAAGAACCCUGAAUUCACUGCUACAGAGCUAAGAAGACCUCUGUUCCUGAAAGUACCAGAAAACAAAGAGUAAUACAAAUCAAGAUGAUGUGAUUUAAAUCAUUCUUUUGUGUCUCUUAUCUGCACAGUUGGUAACCAUGAUUCAGAUUUGGCCCUAAAAAUUGCAUGUAGCUCUAGUCCAAAAUGUAUCCAAAAACUCCAUAAGAACAAGUUGUUUGUGGGAUGUUGGAUAUAAAAGUUUGGCCUGGUAAGUUUUGCCCCUAGAUAAAGAUCAGGCCUAUGUCCAUGGGGCUGUGAUUCCAAAUAUAAAUUUUUUUUUUUUUUAAUAUAUAAGGCUACUGAUGAAACAGAAUGGCUCUUAAUUUCCUACUAACCACAUAAUCAAUAACACUGGUUGUUGUUCUUAUGCAGUCAGAAUGAAAGAAUUGCUAAAGAUUUAGUUGAAAUUUGAAAGCAAACUCAUUCUACACUAGGUAGCUCUCAAAGGAACUCACUGAACCUUUAGUAUCUUCAAUACACUCACAUCAUGGUUACCAAACGAGCCUGGAUAAAAAAAGUAUUCAUAAUAGCUGUAGUUACAGUUGGCAUCUGUGUAACAACUAGUAAGAUAGCUCGUUGUAUUAACUGGUAGUGUGGUUAAAUAUGGAGUAGAGAUAAACAAGAUGGAGUCUUGUUAGUCUCUAAAAAAAGGGGAGGAAUUAUGCCGUUUAGGUUUUAUCCUUUUUUUUUUAUUUUCCCUGUAUUCUUCACACAUAUGUUUGUAGCUCUGUAGCCUAUUGUAUUUGUGGCUAGUUUUCCCAGUACUUUUCCAUGGCCUUUCCUUAAGCAGAAAGACAAAACAAAUUUUAGAGCUCCAAACCCUGGGAGGUACAAGGCUCUGUGCUAUCUUGGCUCUUCCUGGCAACCAAGGCCAAGGACAACUCUUCGAGAUACAUUCUCAUGGACAAAGUACAAGAAGUGCUCAAGGGGGGGCUCCAGAGAAGGGGCUUGACCUGGGGGGGAAUUGCAUCACCACUUGUCCUCCUAAUUGGUGCUUUUUAUCAAUCAUGCCAAUUUCCUAAAACCUAUAAAAAUGUACUCACCCCUGGGCAAGAUGGGCUUUUGUGGACAUCUUUCUAUAACUGCCUCUGAAGGCCUUCAAAUAAAGAUCCCUUUUAAUAUUAGCUGCUUAUUAAAAUUAUCUUGAGUUUCAUAUCCAGGCUGGGCAAAAGGCAACAUUAUAGGCAUUUAUCUCUUAUCCUUAACAAAAAGGCAAAGAGCUGAAGAUUAGUAGCAUUUUGC